rnacentral:rRNA from 1 species
UAAGGAAUAUUGGACAAUGGAGGCAACUCUGAUCCAGCCAUGCCGCGUGAAGGAAUAAGGCCCUAUGGGUUGUAAACUUCUUUUAGACGGGACAAAACCCCUUUACGUGUAAAGGGUUGAUGGUACUGUCAGAAUAAGCAUCGGCUAACUUCGUGCCAGCAGCCGCGGUAAUACGAAGGAUGCAAGCGUUAUCCGGAAUUAUUGGGUUUAAAGGGUGCGUAGGCGGACUAAUAAGUCAGUGGUGAAAGCCUGCAGCUUAACUGCAGAAUUGCCAUUGAUACUGUUAGUCUUGAGUACAGUUGAGGUAGGCGGAAUGUGUCAUGUAGCGGUGAAAUGCUUAGAUAUGACACAGAACACCGAUUGCGAAGGCAGCUUGCUAAGCUGUAACUGACGCUGAGGCACGAAAGCGUGGGGAGCAAA